rnacentral:rRNA from 1 species
CCCUUAGAUGUCCUGGGCCGCACGCGCGCUACACUGAGUGUCUGAGAUACGAGUCUGCCUGGUCCGGCAAGGUCUAGGUAAUCGCUAAAAGACACAUCAUGCUUGGGAUAGAUUAUUGCAAAUAUUAAUCUUGAACGAGGAAUUCCUAGUAAGCGCAAGUCAACAGCUUGCGUUGAUUACGUCCCUGCCCUUUGUACACACCGCCCGUCGCUACUACUGAUUGGAUGUUUAAGCGAGGUUCUCGAACUGCUAGCGACUUAGCUUAGGUGAGGUCGCAGUGUGGGAAGUGAACCUAGCUUUGGUGUCUAGAGGAAGUAAAAGUCGUAACA